rnacentral:tRNA from 1 species
UCCUCGGUAGUAUAGUGGUCAGUAUCCCCGCCUGUCACGCGGGAGACCCAGGUUCAAUUCCCGGCCGGGGAG